rnacentral:rRNA from 1 species
GACGAACCGAGCGAACGUUAUUCGGAAUAACUGGGCUUAAAGGGUGCGUAGGCGGGCUAGUCAAGUCUGGGGUGAAAUCCGGCAGCUUAACUGUCGAACUGCCUCAGAUACUGAUGGCCUCGAGGGAGGUAGGGGCAUGCGGAACUGUAGGUGGAGCGGGUGAAAUGCGAUUGAUUGACUACAGGACUCCGGUGGCGAAAGCGGCGUGCUGGACCUCUUCUGACGCUGAGGCACGAAAGCUAGGGGAGCAAACGGG